rnacentral:rRNA from 1 species
AACGAACGCUGGCGGCAUGCCUAACACAUGCAAGUCGAACGAGACCUUCGGGUCUAGUGGCGCACGGGUGCGUAACGCGUGGGAACCUGCCCUUAGGUUCGGAAUAACUCCCCGAAAGGGGUGCUAAUACCGGAUAAUGUCUUCGGACCAAAGAUUUAUCGCCUUUGGAUGGGCCCGCGUUGGAUUAGCUAGUUGGUAGGGUAAAAGCCUACCAAGGCGGCGAUCCAUAGCUGGUCUGAGAGGAUGAUCAGCCACACUGGGACUGAGACACGGCCCAGACUCCUACGGGAGGCAGCAGUGGGGAAUAUUGGACAAUGGGCGAAAGCCUGAUCCAGCAAUGCCGCGUGAGUGAUGAAGGCCUUAAGGUUGUAAAGCUCUUUUACCCGGGAUGAUAAUGACAGUACCGGGAGAAUAAGCUCCGGCUAACUCCGUG